GGGCCUGUAGCUCAAUGGCAGAGCACGCGGCUCAUAACCGCUUGGUUGCAGGUUCGAGCCCUGCCGGGCCCA
rnacentral:tRNA from 1 species